GAGUUUGAUCCUGGCUCAGGAUGAACGCUAGCGAUAGGCUUAACACAUGCAAGUCGAGGGGCAGCAUAAGAAGUAGCAAUACUUUUGGUGGCGACCGGCGGAUGGGUGAGUAACGCGUAUGCAACCUACCCUCUACAGGGAGAUAGCCCGUUGAAAGACGGAUUAAUAUUCCAUAUUAUCCAAGUAUCGCCUGAUAUUUAGAUGAAAGAUUUAUUGGUAGAGGAUGGGCAUGCGUUUCAUUAGUUUGUUGGUGAGGUAACGGCUCACCAAGACUACGUUGAAUAGGGGAACUGAGAGGUUUAUCCCCCACACUGGGACUGAGACACGGCCCAGACUCCUACGGGAGGCAGCAGUGAGGAAUAUUGGUCAAUGGACGAGAGUCUGAACCAGCCGAGUCGCGUGAUGGAUGACUGCCUUAUGGGUUGUAAACAUCUUUUAUACGGGAAUAAAGUGGCCUACGUGUAGGUUUUUGCAUGUACCGUAUGAAUAAGCAUCGGCUAACUUCGUGCCAGCAGCCGCGGUAAUACGAAGGAUGCGAGCGUUAUCCGGAUUUAUUGGGUUUAAAGGGUGCGCAGGCGGGAAAUUAAGUCAGGGGUGAAAUCUGGACGCUCAACGUUCAAAUUGCCUUUGAUACUGGUUUUCUUGAGUGUAGUUGAAGUAGGCGGAAUUCGUUGUGUAGCGGUGAAAUGCAUAGAUAUAACGAGGAACUCCGAUAGCGUAGGCAGCUUACUAAGCUAUUACUGACGCUCAUGCACGAAAGUGUGGUNAUCAAACAGGAUUAGAUACCCUGGUAGUCCACACAGUAAACGAUGAUUACUAGUUUUUGGUGAUAUACAAUCAGAGACUAAGCGAAAGCGAUAAGUAAUCCACCUGGGGAGUACGUCGGCAACGAUGAAACUCAAAGGAAUUGACGGGGGCCCGCACAAGCGGAGGAACAUGUGGUUUAAUUCGAUGAUACGCGAGGAACCUUACCCGGGCUUGAAAUGCUACUGACCGACCAAGAAAUUGGUUUUCUGGCAACAGCAGUAGUGUAGGUGCUGCAUGGUUGUCGUCAGCUCGUGCCGUGAGGUGUCGGCUUAAGUGCCAUAACGAGCGCAACCCUCAUCGUUAGUUACUAACAGGUCAUGCUGAGGACUCUAACGAGACUGCCAUCGUAAGAUGUGAGGAAGGUGGGGAUGACGUCAAAUCAGCACGGCCCUUACGUCCGGGGCGACACACGUGUUACAAUGGGUGGUACAAUGGGCAGCUACCGGGCGACCGGAUGCUAAUCUCCAAAACCACUCCCAGUUCGGAUUGGAGUCUGCAACUCGACUCCAUGAAGCUGGAUUCGCUAGUAAUCGUAUAUCAGCCAUGAUACGAUGAAUACGUUGCCAGGCCUGUACACACCGCCCGUCAAGGGAG
rnacentral:rRNA from 1 species